rfam:Tupaia chinensis contig190459, whole genome shotgun sequence.
AGCUUUGCGCAGUGGCAGUAUCGUAGCCAAUGAGGUUCAUCCGAGGCGUGAUUACUGCUAAUUGAAAACCCCAUAUUGACACCUCAUUCCCCAGAUCAUCCUUUUACAUUUACAGUCUGGCAUUUUGUUUGCACAAAC